GCGGUUCUCUUAAGUAAACUAUGAGCGAAAAUAUGUUUCCACUUGCAGUUCUUGAGUUGAGCCCGCCAAUUUUUUUCCUCGUCCUUUAAUUAAAAUCGUCUGCAAAAAGGAAUAGCCACCGCUAGCGUAGAGCUUUUCUGUACUAGAGAAUACAAUAGUACAUUUUCCUCACUGCUACAGAAUCGUCCUUUAGUCCCGGACGGGAAGGGGCUUUAGCCCCGGAUUCUAAGCCGGGACUACGCUUCCGGGACUAAAGGCGCCCCUUUAGUCCCGGCUCCGUGCACCAGGGCCAAAGCCCCACCCUUUAGUCUCGGGCAGUAUUACCAGCCGGGAUUAAAGGAUGCUGCCAGCGGUGCCACGCAGCAGCACCCUUUAGUCCCGGCUGGUAGUACCGCCCGGGACUAAAGGGUCCCCUUGUUUUUUCUUUUUCUUUUCUUUUCAGUUCUGUUUUUUUAGUUUUGUUUAUUUAUACAAUAGGUUUUCCAAUAUGUAUUCUUUGCUGCUAAUAUAUAUAUACAUAUAUAAUUGAAUUAUAUAACUACGUAUAUAUAAAAAUAUAUGCACAUAAAUAUAUAGAAGUUGUUCUCAAAAUCUAUUACUGCACAAGUUGUACUCCAAAGUUAAUACUCUAAACCUAAUACAAGUUGUACUUCAUCAUCCAAAGAUGUAUAAAGCAUACAAAUGAUCAUCGUUGUUUGGAAUCAUCUUCUCGUUAGGAUUAUAGUGGAACUCACUGCUUAGAUUUAUGACUUGUUCCCAAAGAAAUUCUGCUAUUGCCUCUUGUAUUGCUUGGAGUUGUUCAUAUUGCAUGAGUUUUUGCUUCAACCAUUUAGUCUUCAAUCUGAAUUAAAAGAAGGUAUUAGUUAUAUCAAGAUUAUCAAUAGUAAUUCGAGAGAAAAUAAAAAGAGACAUGUGUUACAUACUCUGAGGUAUUCUUCAGGAAUUCUAUUUGUUACUGCCAUAAUAUACUCGCAAACGUAGUAUCCACAUAAGUUGUUCCACGGUUCUUGUCUCAAGAACCACUAUAGGAUGUAAAGAUUCAUCUCGUAAAAAAGACAAGAUAUAAGAUAUACCACGUUCAUUGACGAAGGAUAAACUUACUUCUAGCUGUAUUAUCUUUAGUGGCACCCUACGUUGAGUUAGAUGUUCUCGAACAAUGAAUCUUUCCCAAAUCCUAAACCAAUGAUAUAUUUAAAACAAGAGAGUUGGAUCGUUAAGUAUUCAUAUAUACAAGCUUAGUCUACUUUACACAUGCAAUGGAUCGAAAUUACCUUUGAAUGAUGUCUAUCAUAUCUUGGUAAUAUUGUUGUGGUUUCUUCAUUGAGUCAUAGAUUACCAACUUACUUUUAGCAAGAUCAAUGACUGUGAGUAUCCAGUGAAAGCUGUUCAUAGAGACAUGAGUCAUAGAUUAGGGUUAAGUAAAAUUAAAAGGCACACUUGCAUGUUAACUAUAUAUGUAUAACUCACUUGAAGUUGUAGGGGAAGAGUAUUAUUUUUUGUCUUUUUGGUUCACGAAGAACCUCAUAAGAUUCGUACACUUGUCAUUGAUCCAAGUCGCCGAAGGUUUUGGCUCCUUGAAAACGACCUAAGGAUCAACAAAUCCAAGAGUAUUAUCGGUUUUGGAUCUGAGAUCGGUCAUUUGGAGCCUGCAUAUAGUGAGUCCAUCGACAAGUACGUGUGUAAGGAUUACUACUAUAUAGACAUGAUGGCAUCGCCCCCUUUGUCUUUGGGGUUGGUGUUGAGGUCAUCCUUGGCGAUGUCAGCUUGGGCGAUGGUGCCUUUUUGUCACGAAUAGGCCACUCCCCCAAUGUGGUGGGGUAGAAACUUGGC
rnacentral:lncRNA from 1 species